rnacentral:rRNA from 1 species
UACGAAGGGGGCUAGCGUUGUUCGGAAUCACUGGGCGUAAAGCGCACGUAGGCGGAUCUUUAAGUCAGGGGUGAAAUCCCGAGGCUCAACCUCGGAACUGCCUUUGAUACUGGGGAUCUCGAGUCCGGGAGAGGUGAGUGGAACUGCGAGUGUAGAGGUGAAAAUUCGUAGAUAUUCGCAAGAACACCGGUGGCGAAGGCGGUUCUCUGGGCCUUACCC